UUUACAAUGGUGGGAAGCUGGUCUGGAAAGUUUACUAAUUGUUGUGAAAUUUGAAUCGGAUCGAUAAGAUUUUGUUUAUUCACCCUGAUUCUUUCCCAGACAGUAGUCCCACAAGGUAAACAAAGCCACUAAAGAGCCCAUCACCGAUAAGAUCACUCUGUAAUCAGAAGAAUAAGCCGAAAGCUGAUUAAAAUAUCUGCGCACUUACAUCAUAAAAAUGGUGAGUCCGUCCCAUGGUACACUUUCACUUGUUUGGCAACUGGAUUCGCUGAUACUCAUUACCGAGCUGGGAAUACUGACGUUAAGCAGUUGUUUCGUCACCAUACCCAUAAACGUGUUCAUAUAAGUUGCCGAGCAGGAUGCCGGUAGGCAAGUGGCAGUUUUAAAAUGGCCGAUGAUCGAACUCUGGACUCCCAGCGCCUGGGCAAGAGACACUGAAAGAAAACAGUACUUUCCCUGGAUAGUUCUGCCCAGGCUGACUCCAUGAUUGAUGUUGAGGCACUCGUCGAAGUUUCCCAGGUCGUACAUGUUUCCCGUUAGUAGACCAGAUGGUAUUGAACCCCAGGAAUCGAACACUGGCGUAAUACAGAUAAUACGGCCAUUAAAUGAGAACUUGGUUUCGGUUCAAAGUUCACUUACUUUUCAGUGCCCAGUACUGGCCACUUUGAAGUCCAGUCGUAAGCGCAGUCAAAUCGCUUAGACACAGCAUAUCCUCCUGACUUGGCACUCGGGUUUCCAGGGUGCUCAACUCCUCCACAUCAAAAUCCUUUACUUGACCAACAAAAUCAAGGGCAAGUCCUUUGAGUUGGCUGACGCGUUGCAAAUCUGACAGAACAUCCUCGUCAUUCAAGCGUCCGGCACUGAUGAGGCCAAGACCGCAGAGGAAAACUACUCCGACUAUGUUAACCAUGCUGGCUUAACUCUUACUAAUGAUUUCUCACCGAACUUGGAACCCCUUUUAUAUACGAAUUAAAAUGAGAUAAGCACCGUCUACGAACACCAUCAGUGACAUUAGUCAUUUCUUAACAAGUUCAAUGGAAAACGCCUGAUAAGCUAAUCUUUGCAGGUAACUUUAAUCAAUUCUUUUAAAACAUAGUACCAAUAGAUACUUGGUAAGAUUAAGCAUACGAAAUCUCUGUUAUUUAAAUCAACCUUAUCGUACACGUGACAAUAGCUUUAAAUAAAGGUAAGGCACGCGGAUUAAAGAGUCACAUGGUUUUCGGAAUUUGAAUCAAUAAAGAUAUUUAUUGCUGAUUUUAUUGAGACUUUUCAGCGAGUUGGUCAGCACUUGAGUCAUUACCUUCCAGUUCUCUUUGGUUGCUUAAGUCAACAUCAUGUCCAUGGCCUUCGCCCACUCGGUCUGAGUUCGUCAUCGGCUUAUUCUCUGCUGGUGCUUUCUUUUUUGGGCGUAAAAGGCGGUCAAGUCCACCAAUAGGCGCCUCAAUUAGCAAGUACAGGAGAUAGGAAAAAAGCACAGUGAAUCCCAUGGUUGACCAGAAAUUAAGCAUCUGAAAAAUAAUAAUAAGAUCAAAAUAAUCAUUAUCAAUAUGAAAAUACCUGUUGACUUACCACUUGAUAAUUCGAAAAGUUGCCACAGCGGAGAGGAGAGAAAAGUAUUGGCCAUCCCGCCGUAUCCUUGCAUACAGGCAAAGACCACCCAACCAACUGCCAUGGGCCAGCCCACACGGGUAAGGGUGUAAUAAGAUGACACUUCGAGGGUGGUCAUUAGCCAAGGCUUUCCCGACUCAAGUUUCGGAUAGAGUGCGAAGAUCGAGGUAAAGAGCAUAGCCAGGCAAAGAAUCCAUCCCGACCAGACCGCUAUCCAGUUCAUUUUAAACUUUCUUCCCUUAUUCAAGAACACAAAGUAGCCAUACAAGAAUCCAAUGAGCCACGGAGCAGCAAUAGUGGUUGACCAUCAUGGUGGCAAACAGGCAUCCAGAUAGCAAAACUAUUAGAACGCCGAUAGCAGCAGCAGCCUUCUUGCCCCAUUUAUAAAGAGCAAAUAGCAGGAUAGGAGAUAUGAGGAAAAGCUGCAUGUCCACCGCCAAAUACCAGGUAUGAUCUAGGCACUAAAAUAUUCAGGUUUGGGAUCAUAUAAGUCAUCAAAUAACUAUAAAUUAAACAUCAGUUUCCACUUACCAUAUCAUUUGCGAAGUUAACAACGAAAAGCAAGGUCAUGUACCAAGUUUUUGCACAUGAUGCUUUCUUACUAUAUCCGCCCUUGAAAAGUGGCCCAUCCCCCAAAACACCUGUAAGUUGUGUGUAGACCAGAAUAGACAUAGCCAGAAUAGGAAAAAUGCGGAUGAAACGGCGUAUAUACAUUCUUGGAACAUUAAUUUUGCCAUUGUUUCUGAAAAAUUAUUGCAAAUUCAUAAUAAUUAAAUUUUUUAUUUCCAAGAGAGUUAAAAACGUACUUUUCCAUUGUUCCCAGUGCAUUUAAUGAAACCAAGAAACCUCCGAUAAAGAAAAAUGAAUCGACUGAAAAAUUUCCCUCCAGAAAAAACAUUGUGAAAGGCGUUUGAAGCCACUAGAAAAAUAAAAGUAAUUAAAUUUUAAAAAAUAUAUAAAAUAUUUAUUUGAAAAAAUGAAAUUGUACUUACCGAAAGAAAUCUAAAUCGAUUAAUGUUUGGCGCAGAAAACACAUUAUCAUACUGAUGAAUCCAAACCACCCAGAAAAGGGACAUGCACCGAAUUCCGUGAAGGCAUUCAAUUACAUUCGGGUUCGAUUGAUUUACCACAAUGCGGAAAAGUGCACAAGAGUUGGCCCUGGCUGAAAACAACUUGACAGCCGUGUGAAGUUGAUCUGUGAGGUAAGGAUACAUUAAUAUAAUUUUUAAUAUUUAGGUUGUGGUAUUAUAAACAUUUACCCUGACUCUUGACCAAAAAGUAAUCGUACAACGUAGCUAUAGCCACGAUUACGCCCAUCAGUGACAGUAUGACUCUGUAAUCAGAAAUGAUUAGAAGGCACAUCAAUUAAAAUUUCAACAUUCUUACAUUGUUAAAAUCGUUAGUCCACUCCAGGGCUCGCUUUCAGCUGUUUGGCAAGAAUCAUCGCUGAUACUCAUGGCUGUACUGGGUAUACUCACAUUCAGUAUCCUUUUUAAAAUCGUAUCCACAAACUUGUUCAUGUGAGUGGCCGAACAGGAAGCCGGAAAGCAUGUAGCCGUCUUAAUUUUCAAUAUUCCGGCUAAUGAACUCUCAACUCCCAAUAUUUUCGCGGGUGAAACGUCUAAAAAGCAGUAUUUUCCACGUAUGCUGUCCUUCUUGAUAUUGAUGCACUCGUCGAAAUUUCCCAAGUCAUACACGUUACCGGUGAAAAUACCAGAUGGUAUGCCUCCCCAUGCGUCAAUCACUGAAUGUAAAUCACUAAUGAUUUUCUUUCCAAUCUCGCAAUUUGAACUGUUAACUUACUUUUGAAUGCCCAAUAUUGUCCACCUUGAAGAGCCGAGACAAGCUUAGUUAAGUCAUUUAAGCACAGAAGAUCCGCCUGUGUGGGCAAUCGCGAGUCAAACAGGCUCAAAUCAUUUAGCGUUACAUUUUGAAAGUAAUCGGCAAACUCAAUACCCAACGGUUUGAGCUUCCUCAGGCGCUGGUAUUCUUCCAGGACACUUCUGUCCUCAGACUGUAUGGCACCGAUGAGCACCAGCCCACUAAGCAAAAUAAAACUGAGAAUUUUAACCAUGCUAACUGAAUCGCUAUUAAUGGUCACAGUCCAAAUCGUGAGGGUUUAUAUACAAGCGAUAAGUAUUGAAUACGAUAAGGGCAAGGUUGAUUUUUUAAGUGGAGACUCGAAUAUUACUACCCUGUUAACUUUGAAAACACGAACUUCAGUGUUUAGUUCACAUGGUCCUAAUCUUAUUGUUAAGUUAUGUUCAUAGACACAUUAUGUGUCUUCCUGAUUAUACUGCCACUGAUUUAACUUAGAAUGGUUCUAGGUUUUUAAAGUUUGGAUGCAUCUUGCAACUGCUGGAUAUAACUAUUGUCGCUAGGUGAAGCAUGGAAAACGAUUAAUUCCGUUGAAGACACUAUCAGCCGUAUUAUAUUUAGAAUUCGUUCAAAAAAGA
ensembl:ncRNA asRNA:CR46469 antisense RNA:CR46469